UACGGAGGAUGCAAGCGUUAUCCGGAAUGAUUGGGCGUAAAGCGUCCGCAGGUGGCAAUGUAAGUCUGCUGUCAAAGCGUCUGGCUCAACCAGAUAAAGGCAGUGGAAACUACAUAGCUAGAGUAAGGUAGGGGUAGAGGGAAUUCCUGGUGUAGCGGUGAAAUGCGUAGAGAUCAGGAAGAACACCGGUGGCGAAAGCGCUCUGCUGGGCCGCAACUGACACUAAUGGACGAAAGCUAGGGGAGCGAACAGG
rnacentral:rRNA from 1 species